AUUGAACGCUGGCGGAAUGCUUUACACAUGCAAGUCGAACGGCAGCACGGGGGCAACCCUGGUGGCGAGUGGCGAACGGGUGAGUAAUACAUCGGAACGUGCCCGGUCGUGGGGGAUAACGUAGCGAAAGUUACGCUAAUACCGCAUACGAUCUGAGGAUGAAAGCGGGGGACCUUCGGGCCUCGCGCGAUCGGAGCGGCCGAUGUCAGAUUAGGUAGUUGGUGGGGUAAAGGCCUACCAAGCCGACGAUCUGUAGCUGGUCCGAGAGGACGACCAGCCACACUGGGACUGAGACACGGCCCAGACUCCUACGGGAGGCAGCAGUGGGGAAUUUUGGACAAUGGGCGCAAGCCUGAUCCAGCCAUUCCGCGUGCAGGACGAAGGCCUUCGGGUUGUAAACUGCUUUUGUAUGGAACGAAAAGGCUCUGGCUAAUACCUGGGGCUCAUGACGGUACCGUAAGAAUAAGCACCGGCUAACUACGUG
rnacentral:rRNA from 1 species